GAUGAACGCUGGCGGCGUGCCUAAUACAUGCAAGUCGAGCGAACAGACGAGGAGCUUGCUCCUCUGACGUUAGCGGCGGACGGGUGAGUAACACGUGGUUAACCUACCUCUAAGACUGGGAUAACUUCGGGAAACCGGAGCUACUACCGGAUAAUAUAUUGAACUGCAUGGUUCCAUCGUGAAAGACGGUUUUGCUUUCACUUAUAGCUUGCUCCGGCCCGCAUUAGCUAGUUGGUUAGGUAACGGCUUACCAAGGCAACGAGGCGUAGCCGACCCGAGAGGGAGAUCGGACACACUGGAACAGAGACAGGGUCCAGACUCCGACGGUAGGCAGCAGUAGGGAAUCUUCCGCGAGGGACGAAAGCCUGACGGAGCAACGCCGCGGGAGUGAUGAAGGACUUAGGAUCGGAAAACGCUGUAAGUAGUGAAGAACAAAUGUGUAAGUAACUAUGCACGUCUUGACGGUACCGAAUCAGAAAGCCACGGCUAACUACGUG
rnacentral:rRNA from 1 species